rnacentral:rRNA from 1 species
GACGAACGCUGGCGGCGUGCUUAACACAUGCAAGUCGAACGGAAAGGCCCUGCUUUUGUGGGGUGCUCGAGUGGCGAACGGGUGAGUAACACGUGAGUAACCUGCCCUUGACUUUGGGAUAACUUCAGGAAACUGGGGCUAAUACCGGAUAGGAGCUCCUGCUGCAUGGUGGGGGUUGGAAAGUUUCGGCGGUUGGGGAUGGACUCGCGGCUUAUCAGCUUGUUGGUGGGGUAGUGGCUUACCAAGGCUUUGACGGGUAGCCGGCCUGAGAGGGUGACCGGCCACAAUGGGACUGAGAUACGGCCCAGACUCCUACGGGAGGCAGCAGUGGGGAAUAUUGCACAAUGGGCGGAAGCCUGAGGCAGCAACGCCGCGUGCGGGAUGACGGCCUUCGGGUUGUAAACCGCUGUCGCCUGUGACGAAGCGUGAGUGACGGUAAUGGGUAAAGAAGCACCGGCUAACUACGUG